rnacentral:rRNA from 1 species
UACGGGGGGGGCAAGCGUUGUCCGGAAUUAUUGGGCGUAAAGAGCUCGUAGGCGGUCUGUCGCGUCUGCCGUGAAAACCCGAGGCUUAACCUCGGGCUGGCGGUGGAUACGGGCAGACUAGAGGUAGGUAGGGGAGAAUGGAAUUCCCGGUGUAGCGGUGAAAUGCGCAGAUAUCGGGAGGAACACCGGUGGCGAAGGCGGUUCUCUGGGCCUUACCUGACGCUGAGGAGCGAAAGCGUGGGGAGCGAACAGG